rnacentral:lncRNA from 1 species
GUUCAUUCAGGUUUCUGGGUCAGGUCCCAGCUCUUAUUCUUAUUCCUAGAGGCUGAGCAUCUCAGUGGAUGGUUAAAAUCUCCAUGCUAAGGUAGACGGGAAGAGAGUUGUCAUGAGUGGGGUACAGGGAAAGGAAGGCAUCUCAGACAGAAACCCUGUCUCAGCCCCUUAGGACUACAAUUUCAUCGUGAAGUGUGAGAAGGUCUCCUGAAUGGAGAAAUAGCACACAGUCACGAAGAGCCUAGCUUGCAAAUGGCUGUUGUGGCUUUUCAUUGACAUUGAUUGGACUGUUUGAAGACUUUAGUUUCCAUCAUCAAUGGAAUCUAGUGAUUUUCACUAAUGGAUUUAUGAAAGAGACUUCAAUACGUCAGGAUGGCAUUUCUGAAAUCCUCAGGAAGGAAUGGAGAAGAGAGUCACUGUUCCUUGAGCUGCCUGAGAUGGAAGAACACAGAGACUACAACCACAGGGGCGAAACCUAUCAGGGUUCAGAGUGGAGCCAAGACAGAAGGCUGUUACUGCCCACUACUUUUUCUGAAACUUUAACUUUCUUGAAGC